UACAGAGGGUGCGAGCGUUGUUCGGAAUUAUUGGGCGUAAAGGGCGCGUAGGCGGUGCGGUAAGUCACCUGUGAAAUCUCCUGGCUCAACUGGGAGCUUGCAGGCGAAACUGCCGUGCUGGAGUGUGGGAGAGGUGCGUGGAAUUCCUGGUGUAGCGGUGAAAUGCGUAGAUAUCAGGAGGAACACCUGUGGCGAAAGCGGCGCACUGGACCACAACUGACGCUGAGGAGCGAAAGCUAGGGGAGCAAACAGG
rnacentral:rRNA from 1 species